AAGGCUUUAAGUUAAGUAAACUAAUAACCUUCAAAGCUAUAAAUAAAGAAAAUGUGUCUUUAAGCCUUA
rnacentral:tRNA from 1 species